AUUACAUCCAUAAAUACUAACCUGUAGACUUUUAUCCCCCAAAUUAUAGUUCUUAAUCUACAUAGAAAACAUCGAAAAGAUCUCUCCUUUUUCUUGAUAUACAUAGAAAACAUCGAAAAGAUUCAUCAACAGAAAGCAAAUUUUUGAGUGAUCAAAAUCAAGAAAUCGAGCACGUUGCUUCUUGUCUGGUCAUACUUUGAGAGAUAAUUAAGAGCUCAAGUGAGGUAGGAGGAAAGACUUUCCAUGGAAAACAACUCCAUUUCUCCCCUCGGAUUCUUCUUCAAAAAUAUGGUUCGCGACAAAAGCGAGACUGCAUGGGCACUAGGGAAGAAACUUGGCAUUGAGGUAUGCUAUGGUUUAUUUUUAUGUAUGUAUAUAUAUACUUGGUUAGUGCCAUAUAUUUACAUUAUAGAAUUGAUAGAGACAACAUGAUUAAGCAUAUGGGCACGGUGUUCUGGUGGUUGACCUUUAGAAUUAUGUAAUUCUGAUAGACUGAAUAUGUGUCUAUUGCAUGUGAUGAUACAUAUAAAUAAA